UUCUUAUGUUUAUCGAACCGAAUGCUUGAUAUCUUUAUGAUAUUUCCUGAUGAUUAGGCAAUCGUUCGAUUUGUUGCAGAUAUAAAUAACCCGCAAAAAGAAUUAGACUAUACAAGAGUACCUUGAAAUUCCACACGUUGCCGAUUGGUAGGGUAGUUGCCGGCACACAUGCAUAUCGUAAUCGUUUGUUUAUUAUAAGCAAUAAAUAAAGUAGUCAUUAUAUUACAAAGUACCGUACAUUAGUAUUUAAACAAAAACGAAAAAAAUAAUAAUGAUAAAAUACAUACGAAUACUUGCACAAUAUGCAGGAAAUGUUAUCACUACUCUCAUUAUUGCAGAUUGGGAGAAAAAAAAAAAACAAAAAAAAA